GAUCAAUCUGGGAAGGAUGCCUAAAGGAAAUGAUGUUUCAAGAGUUGCUUUACAAUAUGGGACAAGGGUGUGCCAAUUGAGUGGUUAAAAAAAAAACUGCAAGGAGAUCUGAAAACACUUACUGGCUAAUUGUGAUCAAGAGACAUGGAAAUAUUGACAACAUUCAAGGGCACUUCAACACUGACUGUGGACUUGGAGCCCUGGACCACAUUGGCAGUGACACUUAAGAGGAAGAGAUAUUAAGUGGAAUUUUGACCCAGUACCCUCAUGGAAACCCAACUGAUAUACUUCCCUAGGCCAGAGAAAAUAACAGCUGCUACAGGAAUAUAAGCAAACUCUAUCUGUCAGACCAACAUCUGUGAUAGAAGCAGAAAUGGCAGUGGUGAUGGAAAUUUUGCUGCCACUUGUAGACACCAGGAAAUUGACACCAGUGGCUGUUAAACGUAUUAAAGGUUUUGGACAUUUGGAAAGCACUUAAAGCAGUGACUAAGUAGUAAGAGUCACACAAGUGUUAAACAAAAACAAAUUAAGUAGUACUAGAAAGAAAAGUUAAAUCUAAAUAACAUAUAAGUCAUUUGGGAUUUCCACAAGGGAACUCUGCAAUGGUAGCUCAGAGCCAAAGAUACUUUUGCUGUCCUUGAGGUGGUUAUCCAUACCCUAGGAUGGAUACACAAAGAUUCUUCACUCUCUUUCUCGCCACCAGCUUAGUCCAGUUUGCCAUCAUGUAUUGCCUAGACUACUGCAUUGUCCUGCUAAUGGGCCCUCCCACUUCCAUUCUUAACCACUUCACAACUCACCUUCGCAUGGCAACCAGAAUGAUGAAAUCAGAAAUCUGAUUGUGUCAUUCUUCCAAGUGAAAAUCCUCCA